GCUCUGUUUGAAGUUGCUGAGCGAUUGAGACAACAUGCAGUCAACAGCUGUUAUUAAAUGUAUAAAAAUUGAUAUUAUUUUAUUUAUUAGAUUAUAUUUUAAAAAUUCCUAAUAAUCGCAUUAUAGAUAAUCGAUACAUUUAAUAUUUAGAGUGUACUGGCAAAAACAAUGCGUGCGUGAACGUGAACUUUUGCUGCGACAGAAAGGCAGAUGGUUUUCUUUAUAUAUUAAAUCGUUGUGGUGUAAUGUGAUAGUACUUGUCAAUUUAGCAUAAUUUUGAGCACUUUUCUUUCCGGAUCCGUGAGCCUUUUAUAACUUUAUUUGUCAUUUACUUAUACAACUGUUUACAAAAAAUCCUACUGUUUACAAGCUUUUGUGUUACAUACUUAAUUACCGUAAUAGGUGUCUUCUUAUUAAUUCCAUAACUGUUACACAAUAGAGAUUUUUGCUGUCAAUUGCACUAGCUAGAAUUAGCAUUUUAAUAAUAGUAGGCUACAUCCUUUUAAUUUUUAAACUAGGAGAAUAGUUUCGUGAAAAAAUUUAUUUAUCUUAUACCAUAUACUUCCGAUUAUAAGUCCCCGAAUAUAAGCCCGACGUCUAUGACCCCGUCACAUUACUAACGUUCACACCAUUCGAUAUACUAGCCCGUAAUCAUAAUCAGAAGUUUAUGGUAUAAGAUAAAUAAAUUUUCUCACGAAACUAUUAUGUGCUAUUAUUAAAACGCUAAUUCUAGUGCAAUUGACAGCAAAAAUCUUUAUUGUGUAACAGUUAUUGAAUUAGUAAGAAGACACCUAUUAAGUGUGUAACACAAAAGUUUUGUAAACAGGUAGGAUUUUUUUAAUUGUUGUAUAAGUAAAUGACAAAUAAAAUUAUUAAAGGCUCACGGAUUCGGAACUUAGAAAAGUGCGCAAAAUUAUGCUAAAUUGACAAGUACUAUCAAAUUACACCACAUGGCCUCACGAUUUAAUAUAUAAAGAAAACCAUCUGCCUUUCUGGCGCAGCAAAAGUUCAGUUUGACGCACGCAUUGUUUUUGCAAUUACACUCUAAGUAAAAUGUAUCGAUUAUUUAUAAUGCGAUUAUUAGGAAUUUUUAAAAUAUAAUUUUUGCGUCUCUAGCAAUUCAAUCUGCGCUAUAAAAGUCAAUUAAUUUAAGACAAACAAGCG